UUAAUUUGACAAGAAUAUAUAGCUUGUUCUGUUUUGCCAAGUACUUCACCCACAUUCACAAGUACAAUUUGUAUGUAUGACCAAUCAUCAUGUAUGAAAAUCAUAGAAAUUGAUCGAAAGGAUGGAUCAUAAUCUUUAAGCAUAGGCACAACCAGUUGCCGCCACACAAAUGAUCUUCCAUAUACAUAUAUUCAAGCAAUAAGUUGUGCACAUAAAAAGUUCUUCUGUAAUAAGUGAUACCUGAAUAAUGUCACCAACAUUGAUAAUGAAGGCAUCAGGGAUGGGCUUGACUAGGACCCACUCCCCAUCACUCUUCCUUUUCACCUCGAGGCCUCCGACGUCGUCUUGAGACAGGAUGGUGAGCGCCCCCGAGUCCUUGUGGCGGCCUACGCCCAGAGCGAGGUGCGGCGCGGGGCACGGCGGGUAGUGGUUGAGCCGGACGAAGGUGGUGUGGUCCUUGUAGUAUUCGUCAAACCUGUUCGCGGGCAAGCCCAGGCUCUGAGCUAUCAGUCCCAUCAGCUUGUACGCGAGUUUCUCCAAUUCUUGUGCGUACUCUUCGCAUGCUUCCCUGAAUUUUAACAGCCGCAAGAGAAUCGUUUUGGAUGGGCAGGAGAUGAGAACUCCAUGAGAAAGGUUCGGGAUAGAAUAAAAUCGAUACUAUUUGCUUAAACAGAGCACAUUUCACCAUGUCAUUUAUCAUAUCAUGUGAGAUUAUCAAUUCCUAUCUAUCAUGCGCCAGCUUCAAUUGAAACACCAUGUCGCCAAAGGAACAAAAAAUCAUGGAAACACUAACCUUAAUCCAGGAGGGUACUCAGGCCACUGAUUGUUCCACUCCAUGAUAGCCUCUUCGCCGUCCUUGGGCGAGGCCGGGACGAGCGUUGGUUCUUUUACGGUAAAGUCGAAGACUUCCUUCCAGUCCCUCACGUUCUUGGUGUGCUCUGUCUCAUAGUACCCGACCACCCUCUUCUCGUCCCUCCUCACCUUCUUCUUCUCCUCCAAGCUCUGCCCGAAGAACUCCCUCGCCUCCCGCUCCAUCCUCUCCCUCUUCUCUGCCGCCACGCCAUGGUUCACCACCGCGAAGAAUCCCCACUUCUGGCAAGCCUCCCCUAUCUCCGCCACGAGCUCUUCGAAGGCAGUGGUGGAAGCAGCGACCGUGCCGUCGGAGGGUGAGUAGCCGGCGAGGGCGGCAAGGUCGAUGAGCGGGAUGCCUUCGGCUUGAAUGGCGGCGAGCUUGGGCCUAUGUUCGACGUCUGUAUGAACGCCGGAUCGACCUCUCCCAUCUCCUUUUUCUUGAUAAAGAUUAGGAGUAUGAUCUUGGGCUAAUCGUGAGUUUGUGAACCUCUUCCUUCUUCUUGGUGUUUUUUCUUUUCGUGGAUGAUAUUGAAGCAAUUAUAGAGAGGAGCAUUUGUUACAGUGACAAUGGUGGUGACUGAUGCGCGAUUGAACCUGGACGCGAUCGAGUGGACAGUUCGGAAGUAAAUGAGGAGCGACUAGGAUAGAGUCAGGACAAGGAAAAAAUCAAGAGGAGAUGGCAAGAAAGAGGACGGAGAGUUCCUGAUUCAUGACGCAAGCGCUUGCAUUGGUUAAUUGGGUAGUUUUGUUGGUGGAGUCUGCGAUAAAUAAUUGAUUCCUGAUUCCAUCGUACGUUAUUGAAAAGUACUUGACUGGUGGUUCAAUCGGUGCACAAGAUAAUUUUAAAUGAAAAUUAUCAAAUUAAGAAUAUUAAUAUUAAUAUUAUUUUUUUAAAACUUAUUACAAUUACGCCAAUUUAAUCUUAAAUCUUUUUGUUUUUGCCAUUAGAGUUUUAAACUUUUUGCAUUUUUGUUAACUCAAUCCAACUUUGGCCAGAAAUUCCUAAUAUGAAGGUUGGUCAUCUCACAUGGCACUAUUGAUACUAAACGAGGUCAAUUUUGAUAAUAGUUUUACCUUCUUUUAUUUUUUUCCUUUUAUCUUAUUUUAUCUUAUCUUAUCUUUUUAUUUUUCCCUUCUUUCUCUACCCUGGCAAUCGGUCAAAGAUGAGGCCUAGCGAGGUCAACCUCGCCAACUACUAGCAAUGGCAAGCGAGGCUAGAGGUUGGCUUCAUUGGCCCUCGCCUCUAGCCGAUUGUCAAACUAGAGGAAGAAGGGAGGAAUAAAAAAGAGAAAGAAAAGAAAAAAAAGGAAAAAUUUUAAAAUUAAAAUAUUAUUAAAAUACUAUUUAAAUUUUCAACAUUGUCGCCUAGCGUUCAUGUUAGUAAUUUUUUGUCAAAAUUAUUAGAUGCAUUGAAUCUAUGCAAAUGCAAAAGAUGUUUGACUCAAUUAGCAAAAAAGAAAAUCUUAGAACUCAAUUAACACAAUUGUAAUAUGUUUAAGACAUUUAUGGUAAUUCUUCCAAUUAGGAACAACGAAGGGUUUUGAUGCGAUUUCAAGGCAUGAUCACAAAAAUCAUUCAUGAUAUUCUCAUCUUAUAUACAAUGGUUAAUAUACUAAAAAACUCCAAAUUGGUAUACAUAUGACAAAUUUGCCUUAAAUUAUUAUUAUUUUUAUUAUGGAAAAUCCCAAAUUGGUAUAUAUUUGAAAAGUUUAUCCCAAAUAACUAUAAAAAACCCAAAACUAGUACACUUAUAAUAAAUUUAUUCCAAACUAGUUUGUUCGACAGCUAGAGACCCCAAAAUGAUACAUUUGUGACAAAUAUAUCCUUUGUUAACUUAGAUUAAUACCACAAAAACCCAUACAUAUGAAGAGUAAAAUCUCAAAUUAAUAGACUAAUCAAAUGUCACGUGUCAUACCAAUUUGAUAAUAAAAUUUAACGGAAAUUAAGAGAGGGUAAAUUUAUUACAAGUAUACAAAUUUGGGAUAAAUUUAUUAAAGAUGUAUCAGUUUGGGAUUUUUUGAGCUUUAAGUUCGGGGUAAUUUGUCACAUAUGUACUAGUUUAGGGUUUUUUGAGAUAUUAACUCUAUAUACAAUGAUGUAGGUCAACUAAUUACUGAAUUAAAUUUCCAAGUGUAAAUUGAAUCCAUCUCUAUUCAAAAUAAUUGGUUGAGUAUACAACCAAACUUUCUCAAUAUGGAAAAUUUUGUGGUGCGCUAGGCCGAUUGUGCAUGAUUGCUUUUUGCCCAAUUCUUUUUGACAAAGGAUGCAUUUAGUUUAGCAUUUUGAAAGCUCAUUGAAAAAAUAUAAAGUAGUUUAGUAUAAAAGAUUUUGAGUUAAUGCGAAUGUUGUUUGGUAAACUAUGCUUUAAGAAUCAAUUUUGAAAGAAAUAUUGUUUGGUAGAAAAUACAUUUGAAAAGUCUUUUGGAUGAUAAUAUUAGUUUUUAAUUUUUAUUUCUUUAAAAUUGAAAAAAAAAGAUAUGCAAAUUUUUAAAUAUAAUUGUUGACAAUAAUGCUAAAAAAAUCAUAUAAUUCUUGAGAAAAAAGAAGGUACGAGAUACACAAGAUACAGAUAAGUACGCUGUACACGGUAUAUGCUUGCCUUUGUUUGCUUUGCCACUCGAGGUAUCAUAUGCUAAUGAAAUCUUUCUUGAUCUCUAGACUGUCAUGUCCACGAGUAAACUAAGAUCUUGCUUCGUAAUCGAAGAGAAGCCAUUAAAAAAAUGUACGGUCUCUUUCCAUGUGUUGAUUGUGUUUAAUGGAUUUGAACAUCCGAGAGCCUGCUUGGACUCAUGCGGUUCAAGCGGCAAUUGGAGAUCAUGUAUGAUACAUGAAGGUUGCUUUGAAAUUAAAAUUGCUAUGGUCCUUUUCUUUUGGGUAGGAUUGGACGGUGGCCACCACGUUGUUGAGGCCACAACCCUUGUUCGGCAACUAAGAUAUGCCGGAAAAUGAUGUUGGCCGAGGAUUAUUACGGUGCUGUCCGGAGGGUGGCUGUAAACUGUUAUAUCUGAGGAAGAGUCGCAUUUUCAAAAAAGGAUUUUGUAGGGUGGAUGAUUAAGAGAAAUAUAGUAGAUGGAACCGUUGGAGGUCAGAGGCUCUGAUCAUGUGGCCAUGAUGUCCCAAGCCGAUACGAUUGAUGGGCAAUCCUUUGGAGAAAAGGUACAGAAUGGUUUGUUUAAAGGCCAGGUGCUGCUGCAUCAGAUGACUAGCUUCAAUUCAAGAAAGUUAUUAAGAUUUAUUUAUCCACGGAUGAUCGAUCUUUUUUCGUAGUUUGAUCAAUUUUGAUAUGGGAAUCUAUGUGCUCCAUCUGGGAACUUAAUUGGUCGGAUGUCGUAGCGAAUAUAGAAGAAUGGCUUAUUUUUCAAGAUGUACUAGACUCGGACAUACUCUUCGUGGAUGAAUGCGAAUAAUGUAAUGUGAUAUUGCUUCCAAAAAAUGAUAUGCCCUAUAUAUAUACCCUAAAUUGAUGGAGAAAAAGUUGGGAAAAGUAUAAAAAAAGUCUUAAUCUUAUUACAUUGGUAUCGGUUUAGUCUUAAAUUUUUGAAUUAAACCAAUUUAAUCCUAAACCUUUUACAUUUACACCAACUUAGUCAACCCGACUAAUUUUGGCUGAAAAUCAAUGACGUGAAUGUUGGUUGUAGUGUGUAGUUGGUGUUGAUGUGGAACUUUUUUUAAGGAUAUUUUGAAUUUUUUCAUAAUUUUUGUGGUUUUUUUCUUUUCUUUUCUUUAUAUGUCUCUGGGGUGAGGGCCGACAACCCUGGUUGAAACUGGGUAAGGUCUCAUUGGCCCUCUCGGCCAUGGUGAGGGCCCGCAAGUCCUCACCCAUUGUCGGUGAGGGUCGACUAGCAACUUUUGUUGGCCCCUUAGCUUUAAAUAAAAAAAAAAGUGAAGUGAGAAUUUUUUUUUAAAUAAAAUUUAAUAUAUUUUUGAAAAAUAUCCAUGUUAACAUCAAUUGGGUCAUAUAGGGUGACGUCAACAAUUUCCUACCAUAAUUGACUUGCCAAAUUGUUAAAAAGGCUUAAGAUUAAAUUGGCAAAUCAUCAUAAAUCAAUUAAAAACUUUAGAACUAGAUUGGCAAGUUAACGUUAAAUUGACCAUCGUAUUAUAAAUUUGGGAUUUUUUGGACAAUUUUCCCAAAAAGAUACUGUGCAAUGAAGUAUGAUUUAUUUGAGAAAAUGUCAUUUGCCUCAUCGCUGAACAAACAAAGUGGCUUGACCAACAUGUUCGCCAAUGUCAAAUCCUGCAAAAUCAAGAAAGUAUAAUGAAAAAGGAGGGAGAGCUUUGAUUGAUCUGAAACAUGUUUGAGUCUGUGUUGUUAGCCAUCCGACAAAAUUGAAACAAUGCAAUACAGAGACGAUUAGCGUGGGGUGUAAUUUCUUAUUAUGGACGUGCGGACCCCUGGAGUGCCAUAACUUUGGCCAAAGGGACACUUAAGUGCCAUAACUUAGGAAAGGUACACUUAAGUGCCACAUUUUAAGAAAAGUGGGACACCUGAGUGCCAUCUCCGGCGAAGUUGGCCGGAAAUCAUACGUGGCAUUAAAAUAUUAAUAUUUCUCGCUGAUAUGUCUCGUCGGAGAGCUGAGUCAGCUCGAAUUCGGCCAAAACGACGUUGUUUUGACAUCAUUUGAAUUUUAUAAUAAUAUAAAAAUUAUUUAAAUUAAAUUUAAAAUAAAUUUAUUUAAUUUUUUUUAAAAAAUUUAAAAAAAAUUAGAAACUUUAAAACAUUAAAAAAAUAAAAAAAUACAAAAAAUUACAAAAAAUUUACAAAUUUACAAAAAAUUUACAAAAUUUACAAAAAUUUUACAAAAUUUACAAAAAAUUUACAAAAUUUAGAAAAAAUUUAAAAAUUUAGAAAAAAUUUAAAAAUUUACAAAAAUUUAAAAAUUUGCAAAUUUUUUUAGAAAGUUACAAAAAAUUUACAAAAUUUAUAAAAAAUUUACAAAAUUUACGUAAAAUUUACAAAAUUUACAUAAAAUUUAAAAAAAAUUAAAAAAAUUCAAAAAAUUUACAAAAAUUUUUAGAAAGUUACAAAAAAUUUAAAAAAUUUACGAAAUUUACAAAAACUUAAAAAAGUUACAAAAAAUUUCAGCCCUCACCGCCUCCCUUUUCUUUUCUUUUUUAAAUUAUUUUUCUGUAACUUUUUUAAUUUUGCAAAAUUUUUUAAUUUUUUAAUUUUAAUUUUUAAAAUUUUAAAAUAAAUUUAUUUUUAUAUUAAAAUUAAUUAAUUUAUAUAUUAAUUUUUUUACCAUGUCAGCACCAAAUUAACGUCGUUUCGGGUGUUGGCCAGAUUAGAGCACUUAAAUCGGCCAAAACAAUGUUGUUUUGGUAUAAGUUGAAUUUUAAUAUAAUAGAAAAAUUAAUUAAAUUAAAUUUAAAACAAAACAAUAAUAUAAUUUAUUUUUAUUUUUAAAAAAAUGUAGGAGGAGGAGAAAGGCAGCCAACGGUUGAGGGCGGAGCCCUCGUUGCCGCCGCCUCCCCGCUGUCGCCGGAAGGUGGGGGAGGGUUGGCCGAGCCCGCCUCAUUUUCUUAAAAAAAAUUUCAAAAUUUUUUUAAAAUUUUUUAAAAUGUUUUAAAUUUUUUAAAAUGUUUUAAUUUUUUUUAAAUGUUUUAAAAUAUUUUAAAAUUUUCUAAUAUUUUUAAAAAUUUUCGAAAUUUUUUUAAAAUUUUCGAAAUUUUUUAAAAUUUUCGAAAUUUUUUUAAAAUUAUCUAAAAUUUUUGAAUUUUUGAAUUUUUUAACUUUUAAUUUCUUUUUAAUUUAUUUAAUUUUUUAAUAUUGAAUAAAUUUUUAUAGACUUUUUUAAUUUUUUAUAGAAUUUUAUAAAUUUUUAUAGAAUUUUAUAAAUUUUUAUUGAAUUUUUACAAAAUUUUUACAAAUUUUUAUAGAAUUUUUACAAAAUUUUUACAAUUUUUUUUUAAAUUUUUACAAUUUUUUUUUAAAUUUUUACAAAUUUUUUUAAAAUUUUCUAUAUUUUUAAAAAUUUUUACAAAAUUUUUAAUAUUUUUACAAAUUUUUUUUAUUUUUUUCAAAUUUUUUUAUAUUUUUUAAAUUUUUUUAAAUUUUUUAUAAUUUUUAUAAUUUUUUAUAAUUUUUAAAAAUUUAACAUUUUUUAAUAUUGUAAUAUUUUUUUAAAUAUUUAAAUAAAUUUAGUUUUAAAUUAUUUUUUAUAUUAAAUUUUUGGCCACGUCAGCAUUAAAACGACGCCGUUUCGCACUCGCUUCGCCGGAAAAUUGACACGUCAACGUUUUGGCCGGUUUUUGGCCGGAUUGGCACUCAAGUGAUCCAUUUUACUCCGAUUUUGGCACUUAAGUGUACCUUUCGUAAGUUAUGGCACUUAAGUGUUCCUUUGUGCAAAGUUAAGGCACUUGAAGCGUUCUUUUGCCUCUUAUUAUGUCUUUGGUUUUACCUCAAUUGGGCUGAGCUGAUAAACAUUCGAUGACAAGAAAUUGGGCCAGAACCGAAGGUGGUCGGUAGAACCGGUGGUGGUUUUCUCAAAGAGUUCACUUGUAAAGUACAACGGGCUAUUAAUAAGGCUUUUGGCAAUUCCCUCUUAACGUUUUCUACUAAUGAUAGGUUUAAAAUUGAACACACCUCUUGAUUGGGAGUAGAAACACUGAGCUCAAGACCUGGCAUUAAGGCGGUCACAAAAACAGCAAGGGCAAUCUUUUUGGGAAUGUCUCCAUCACUUGAGAAAGAGCUAAUCCAUCCAAGCUACGAUCGGCGAGGAUCACUCUCUCAUGAGAAGCUAGACCUUCCAUGACAUCUCUCAGGGGCUUGAAGUACUCAAAGAUCAAUUGUAGAGACUUGGCUUGUGAUGGAAGAACAAUAACAAUCCGAACAAUAUCGGAUUAAUGCAACAAAACAAUAUAAUCUCCUAUCUUAUGUAAAUCUUAUAAUACAGCAAAAUAAAUACCAAGCAUACAAACACAAUAUGAUAUUUUACGUGAAAAACUUGAGGAGAUCAAAAAACAUGGGACCGAAGUCCCCCAAAAUUUUCACUAUAAACAAAAUUGGGUGAAUAAAGUUUUUCUCUAAUAAAUACUAAAGACACAUAGCAGCAAAGAUCUCAAGAACAUCAUUCUUAACGGUACACAUAAAUUUCACAAGAGAUCAAUGAUAAAUUUAACAAAAAAUGCAAGUUUUGAUCGACCCAUGAAAACUUGAUAUAGAGAGCUUCAAACGAAAAUCAAACCGUUCAGAUUCAAGAAGAGUGUGCCAUGAACAUGCUGACAACAUUUCGGCUCAAUGGGAUGACAAAUCGACCUCCAUUGCCAACUUAAUGUAAAAUAAAUUCUUUCCAAGAUCCAAUCUUUUUUGCUUUUCUUUUUUUCUUAUUACCGCAUCUCAACGGACUUUUUUGGGCUACCACUUAAAAAAUAGUGAGAAAUCUUAUUUCUUCAUAUGACUUAUCACAUGAACUCAAGUCCUUUUGGGUUAUAAUUGAUUAGUCUUAUUCCACAUGGGAAUGAACCCAAUUAAUAGCCCGAAGCGGGUCGAUACCAGAAGACACCAGGUCAAGUGCAGUGACUUUGUGACCGGAUGAUCUUAGCAAUCUCACGAUCUUGUACCAACACCCUGCACUGAGGCGUGACCCAUGAAACAGCACAAAGUGCUUGCUUUCAAGUGAUGCUUCCUCCUGCUCGAAGCCGAAGAGGAAGAGGAUGAGGAGGGCAAGUGAUGCUAGGUUAAGGUUCUUGUCCAUAUGCCUCUUGCUUGAUGUUUUUUCUUACCCAAAACUGGGCCUCGGCUAAGGGGGAAGGCGAAGGGUUUUGUUCAGCAAAAUCGUCUGGUGUUGACUGAAGCUAGCGAAGGAUAACCUUCAUUGGUCAGCAAUUACGAAAUCAGUGGUGUUGACUGUUCUUGUGAUUCCACAUUUUCCUCUUGAAUUGCAAUUGUGCACCUACUCAAACAACAGAAAACGGGAGAAGUACCCUAUUAAUGCCAUAAGUUGUGUACGGUGCUCACUUUGGUGCCAAAAGUUUCCGUCGGAUCACUUAAGUGCUAAAUCGGAGGAAAAACAAUCACUUUGGUGCCACCGGCGAAAGAUUCCGGCCAAAAUGAUUACGUGGCUUUUUUAAAAAAAAAAAAUCGACAAGGCCUUAAACGCCGUCAUUUUCGGUCCUCCUUAAGAAAACGUCGUUUUGCCGUCCUACAUGAAUGGUCUCACAAAAACGACGCCAUUUAACUCAUUUGGGGAUUGAAAUUAGGGUUUCAUCGCUCGGCCUUCGCCGUCGCUGGGCCGCCGUCGCUUGCUCAGCCACCAUUGCUUGGCGUUGUUUGGACACCCUCAAUGGCACAUGAGGGAGCACCAGCCUCGGUCGCCGGAGCCUAGGUAUUGGAAGACGCAGGCCAUGCACUCGUCGAGGAGAUCGGAGAUGGAGAGGGAGACAUCAAAGGCGGCACACUUGUUGGCGGCCUCCCUGAGCACCGGCGAGAUCAUGGCCUUCGACUUGGUUGCUGAGUGGCUGUUGUCGGGGUUAGGGUCAAGGUUGGGGUUGGGGUUGGGGUCGGAGUUGCGGUCGCCGAGUGGCCAUCGUUGAGGUCGGAGUCGGGGUCGAAGCCAUGGCCACUGAGUGGCCAUCGUCGGGGUCAAGGUCAGGGUUAAGGUUGGAGCCACGGCCACCGAGUGGCCAUCGUUGCGGUCAGGGUCGAGGUCGGGGUCAAGGUUGGAGCUGUGGUUGCCGAGUGGCCAUCGUCGGGCUUGGGGUCGGGGUCGGAGCCGCGGUCGUCGAGCGCGAGGGCCGUUGAGGACGGCGAACGGCAUUGUUUUGGUGUUAGGGUUUUGAAUUGGGGGAGAAAUCAAAUGGCAUCGUUUUGGUGUUAGGAUGUUGAUUGUACUGUCUGGCAAGCCACAUCAGCUUAAAAAAUUAAUAAAAAAGUGCCACGUUGGAUUUCCAGCCAACCGGAUCGGAGUUGGUACUAAAGUGAGCGCCGUACACAACUUAUAGCACUGAUAGUGUACUUAUCCCAACAUAAAACGAACAACACAGGCGCUAUAUUGAAAUCGUGGUGGUCAGCUCCAUUAUUUAUUUAGGGGAAUGGAUACUAUUAAGAAUACACAGUCACAUUUAUAACAUUCUACUGCUGAAUCUCAUAUCCUGAAAUGAUAAAUUUGGAGGUUCUCAACAUCAAGUUUCUUGAAGUUGCCUCCUAUUCGGGUGACCAAGAACUUGCCCCAGCUGUAUGGCCUGUACUUUGGAGGUUUGUGCUCAUCGGUCAAUUCCUUCAGUGGCUGCACCAUGGUAUGGUGUGAUGGAUUGAAGAAGAACGGAAUUGAGAACCUCUCUUUCUUCGAGUUCACCAUCACUCUAUGCUCGACGCUCUCAUAAGUAUCGUUGCUCCAAACCUUCACAUAGUCGAGCGUUAAUUCGUCAAGAAUAUAUAGCUUAUUUUGUUCCGCCAAAUAUUUCGCCCACAUACACAAGGACAAUUCGUUUAUAUGACCAAUGAACAUGUAUGAAAUUCACAGAAAUUGAUCGAAAAAAUGAAUCAUAAUCAUUAGACACAGGCAAAAAAAAUUGCGGCACAAAUGAUCUUUGAAAUACACAUAUUCAAGCGAUAAGUAUCAUUGCUCCAAAACUUUACAUAGUCGAGAGUUUAUUCGUCAAGAAUAUAUAGCUUGUUUUGUUCCGCCAAAUACUUUGCCCACAUACACAAGGACAAUUCGUAUAUAUAACCAAUGAACAUGUAUGAAAUUCACAGAAAUUGAUCGAAAAAAAUGGAUCAUAAUCAUUAGGCACUGGCAAAACCAAUUGCGGCACAAAUGGUCUUUGAAAUACACAUUCAAGCGAUAAGUUGUGCAUAUAAAAAGUUCCUUUUUAAUAAGUGGUACCUGAAUAAUGUCACCAACAUUGAUAAUGAAGGCAUCGGGGAUGGGCUUGACUAGAACCCACUCCCCAUCACUCUUCCUUUUCACCUCGAGGCCUCCAACGUCGUCUUGAGCCAGGAUGGUGAGCGCCCCCGAGUCCUUGUGGCGGCCCACGCCCAGAGCGAGGUGCGGUGCGGGGCAUGGCGGGUAGUGGUUGAGCCGGAUGAAGCUGGUGUGGUCCUUGUAGAAUUCUUCAAACCUGUUUGCGGGCAAACCCAGGCUCUGAGCUAUCAGUCCCAUCAGCUUGUGCGCGAGUUUCUCCAAUUCUUGUGCGUACUCUUCGCAUGCCUUCCUGAAUUUUUACAGCCGCAAGUGGAUCAUUUUGGACGGGCAGGAGACGCGAGCUCCAUAAGAAAGGUUCUUGAUAGAAUAAAAUCGAUAGCUAUUUGGUCAAACAGAGCACAUUUCACCAUGUCACUUAUUAUAUGAUGUAAGAUUAUCGAUUCCUAUAGAUGAUGCGCCAGCUUCUAUUGAAACGGUAUGUCGCCGAAGCUAAAAAAAUU
rnacentral:lncRNA from 1 species